rnacentral:rRNA from 1 species
AACGUAGGAGACAAACGUUAUCCGGAGUUACUGGGCGUAAAGGGCGUGUAGGUGGUUUCGUAAGUCUGGCGUGAAAUUUCUCGGCUUAACCGAGGCAGGUCGUCGGAUACUGCGGAACUUGAGGACGGUAGAGGCGUGUGGAAUUCCGGGUGUAGUGGUGAAAUGCGUAGAGAUCCGGAGGAACACCAGUGGCGAAGGCGACACGCUGGGCCGUACCUGACACUGAUGCGCGAAAGCAUGGGGAGCAAACAGG